GACGAACGCUGGCGGCGUGCUUAACACAUGCAAGUCGAACGGUGAAGCUCCAGCUUGCUGGAGUGGAUCAGUGGCGAACGGGUGAGUAACACGUGAGCAACCUGCCCCAGACUCUGGAAUAAGCGCUGGAAACGGCGUCUAAUACUGGAUACGAGAUCAAGCCGCAUGGCUAUGGUCUGGAAAGUUUUUCGGUUUGGGAUGGGCUCGCGGCCUAUCAGCUUGUUGGUGAGGUAAUGGCUCACCAAGGCGACGACGGGUAGCCGGCCUGAGAGGGCGACCGGCCACACUGGGACUGAGACACGGCCCAGACUCCUACGGGAGGCAGCAGUGGGGAAUAUUGCACAAUGGGCGAAAGCCUGAUGCAGCGACGCCGCGUGAGGGAUGACGGCCUUCGGGUUGUAAACCUCUUUCAGCAGGGAAGAAGCGAAAGUGACGGUACCUGCAGAAGAAGCACCGGCUAACUACGUG
rnacentral:rRNA from 1 species